UACAGAGGGGGCAAGCGUUAUUCGGAAUUAUUGGGCGUAAAGGGCGCGUAGGCGGCUUUGCAAGUGACGGGUGAAAGCCCUCGGCUUAACCGAGGAACUGCCUGUCAGACUGUAAGGCUUGAGUCCGGGAGAGGUGAGUGGAAUUCCCAGUGUAGCGGUGAAAUGCGUAGAUAUUGGGAGGAACACCAGUGGCGAAGGCGGCUCACUGGACCGGAACUGACGCUGAGGCGCGAAAGCGUGGGGAGCAAACAGG
rnacentral:rRNA from 1 species